rnacentral:lncRNA from 1 species
GGAUGGUUACAUACAGUUUUGCACAGACAUCUGGAAAGUUUGAUCUGGGAGAGACCACAUCACAGAAAAAUUGUUACUGUCUGAGGGGACACUGGUGAUAAAAACCUUAAAACUCAUAUCUUAACUAAAUCUUACAUGUGCUCAACCUGCCACCUUUUUUGUCAUCACUGGAGUGAAUAGUCUAAUGUGUGCCUAUGAAAUAUUACACCAGACAUAAGGGUUCAACUUAUAGCCACGCUCUGGUGCCCUCAAGAAGUUUGUUUAGAGGGCAAAAGUAGAAGAAGAGCAGCAGCUGCGGGGGCCUCAUGUGAACUUGGACAAGGGACAUCUCUGCACCACGCUAUUCAGAAAGAAGCCCAGAGGAGUCUUCCAGAUGUGCUGACCCUGGGCUUCUGCACCACUGCAACACCUGUAUGGAAUCCAGGCAAAGGCUGGACCAUCAGAGGGGCUCUGAUGUUGCAUGCUGUGUGUGAAGCAUCUUCUGUUUCACCCUGGCAGUCAUGAUUCUCUUUGAGCCGCAGUUUGUUUUCUGUCUCUGGAAGUUCAUGGCAGAGCCCUGAGCCAUCAUCUGCCGCCAAUCCUCCUCUUUUUUGCUGAGGAAGACUGCACCUGAGCUAACAUCUGUGCCCAUCUUCCUCUACUUUACAUGUGGGACGCCUACCACAGCAUGGUUUACCAAGCGGUGCCAUGUCCACACCCGGGAUCUGAACCAGCGAACCCUGGGCCGCCAAAGCAGAAUGUGUGCACUUAACUGCUGAGCCACUGGAACGGCCCCCAAACAUCAUUCUUUUUAAAAAAUGUCAAUUAUUAUGUAUUUAUUCAUUCAGAAAAUCUAUAACUUUGUCAGAUCCCCUCACCUUCAUCCCAAACUAUAUUUUUAUUUGAAUAACGUUAAAUAUACAAAUACAUGUCAGAGAACUAAAUCAGUACAAUUUUUAGUUUUCAUCUAAGAAUAUUGAAUUAUUCUUUAACUUUAAGGAAG